UAUAGCAAAUUUUAAACAAAACAGCCACUCUUUGGUUGAGUUACCAUUACUGGUCAGUAGAGUAAACGAGAGGUAUGUCUUUGUAUUCAACCCACCAUGCUUCACUGUUGGGACUGUAUUAGACAGGUGAUGAGCAAUGCCUGUUGUUUUUCACACACACCGCUUAGAAUUAAGCCCAAAAAGUUCUAUGUUGGUCUCAUCAGACCAGAGCAUCUUAUUUCUCACCAUCUUGAAGUCCUUCAGGUGUUUUUUUUUAGCAGACUCCAUGCAGGCUUUCAUGUGUCUUGCACUGAGGAGAGGCUUCUGUUGGGCCACUUGCCAUAAAGCGCCAACUGGUGGAGGGAUGCAGUGAUGGUUGACUUUCUAAAACUUCAUCCUAUCUCACGACUGCAUCUCUGGAGCUCAGCCACAGUGAUCUUUGGGUUCUUCUUUACCUCUCUCGCCAAGGCUCUUCUCCCCCUAUUGCUCAGUUUGGCCGGACAGCCAGCUCUAGGAAGGGUUCUGGUCGUCCCAAAUAUCUUCCAUUUAAGGAUUAUGCAGGCCACUGUGCUCUCAGGAACCUUAAGUGCAGCAUAAUUUUUUUUGUAACCUUGGCCAGAUCUGUGCCUUCUGUCUCUGAGCUCUUCAGGCAGUUCCUUUGACCUCAUGAUGGUAAUUUGCUCUGACAUGCACUGUGAGCUGUAAGGUCUUAUACAGACAGGUGUGUGGCUUUCCUAAUCAAGUCCAAUCAGUAUAAUGAAACACAGCUGGACUCCAAUGAAGGCGUAGAACCAUCUCAAGGAUGAUCAAAAGAAAUCGACAGCACCCGAGUUAAAUAUGAGUGUCAUAGCAAAGAGUCUGAAUACUUAUGGCUGUGUGAUAUUUCAGUUUUUCUUUUUUAAUAAAUCUGCAAAAAUUUCAACAAUUCAGUUUUUUUCUGUCAAUAUGGGGUGCUGUGUGUACAUAACGCGAAAAAAUGAACUUAAAUGAUUUUAGCAAAUGGCUGCAAUAUAACAAUGAGUGAAAAGGUUAAGGGGGUUUGAAUACUUUCCAUACUCACUAUUUAUCUAGCAGUGUCUCCAGUUCAGUUCUGUCAUGUUUGUGUGUGCUGUGGUUGUUAGCUUCCCCCUGCCUUGUGCACACCUGCUCCAGAGUGCAUCUUCCCCACCUGCGCCUUGUUUACCCUAAUUACCCUAUGUAGAGAACCUUGUAUCUGCUUCUCUGUGGUCGCCAGUUCGUUUUACCUUGUUGUCACAUUGCAGCAUUCUCUAUUCCAUAUCCCUGACUUGUAGUAAGACUCGAUCCUGUUUUUGAUUCCCGACCUUGCCUUUUCCUCACGUGAUUCUGUUGCCCUCACUGAUUGCCCACCUGUGUACCGACCCCUGCCUGUUUAUUAACAGUGUUUUUUGGAACUAACUUAUGCCAUUGAGUCUUGCAUUUGAGUCAUCCUCCAUGUACUGUCCAUGGCAGAACGAACUGGCCACAAUAUGGACUCAGCAGACUCUGACCCCAUGUGUAAUGCACUCCAAUUAUAGGAACAGCAGCUCACACAACAAGACGAGCAGCUUUGUGCUCUCCGCUUGAACUUGCGUGAACAGACCGGGCGUCAGGUCUCAAAUGAUGAGACAAGUAGGCUCACAAUUUGAUUUAAUAAUCACUGCAUUACAGAGAGGGGGACUGCCGGCCACAGCACCUGAUCCUGCCGUCGUGCCACUCCCAGUUUCAACGCCACCAGUUGCCACUUCGGCGCUUUUUCCUCAGCUCUACCAACCGGGGAGGUUCUCGGGAAAUUGCAGCCAUUCAUUACGCAGUCUGAUCUCCACUUCAAACUGCAAGCAGGUGCCUUCCCAACCAAGUGGGCUAAGAUUGCCUUCGUCAUCUCACACCUGACUGGUCACGCACAGGCGUGGGCUAUCACUGAAUGGACCCACAAUUCUUCCACCUAUCAUUCCUGGGUGGCUUUUGUGACCAGAUUUUUUAACAUAUUACUCCAGAUUGUGAGGCGGCACAGGUUCCUACUCGCCAUACAGCAAGGCAAUCGAAUGGUGUCAGAGUAUACGAUUGAAUUUCACAUUCUUGCGGCUAAGAGUCAGUGGAACAACAGCGCACCAUUCAAUGCAUUUUUUUCAAAGACUAUAUGUUGGAUCUAUCUCACCCAACACCUAUAAAAAUAGACACAAAAGGAAUGAAGACGCUGGUUUCUUUUGCUCAUGAGGAGGGCGUAUGGGAGAUUGUUCAGAUUACAGCCUCUCAUCACGCUCUAAACAAUCUCUCCCGUCACUCCUGUAUUUAUUUGAAAUAGGGAGGUUUCUGAGUUACAAGACAUAACUUACUAAGCUUACAAGACACAACACACUAAGGGGAGGGUUUCAAGGUGAAGACAUGAGACCUGCCAUGUCCCCGGCCACAUCCUUGGUCACGGCGCCCUUCUAUCGGAUGAUCCCUGCUGAGUCAUCUUCUUGAAGGCGAGACAUCUUCCUUUCUCAAAAUCAUCCAUAAUACUAAUGCAAGCUAAGCAAAUUAAUGAUAACUUCUACAAUAUAUUUAACACUAUAUUACCCAGCGUUAAGACCAUUUGGUUCCACGAGAUCUGCCCACCGACUUGGACACUCUUAUUGCACUAUCCAUUAAAAUUGACAAGAGACUCUUCCAACGCGAGGUAGAGAGAGGCCGGCAGAGGGAACGUCAUGCAUCACGGCGUGCUUGGAGGACGAGCGCAAUGGAACAACCUAACCAUGACUCGUCUUUCACCCGAGGAACGCCAACGUCGGCUGACUGAGGGGCGGUGCUUCUACUGCGGGCUGUUGGGCCGUUCCAUGAGCAGCUGCCACGUCAAAGUUGCGGAUGCUGUUACCAAAAAAUGGGGAGCGGUGAGUUUAAAUCUUAUUAAGGAGGAUUCUGCGCACAUUCUUCCUAGAGUGACGACACUAAGUUUAGCCGAUCGUGUAUUCAUUGACUCUGGUUCUAAUCCUAAUCUGCUGUACUCUCUUAACGUUAGGCAGAUGCGCCUUAAAAGCUAUCGAGUAAGACACCCUUGGAGUGUGUAUGCAGCUGAUGGUAGUUUCCUGGGCACGAUUACUCAUCGCACACAAACCCUCACAUGGUCAUUUCAAGAGUCUCAUUGUGAACACAUAAGUUUACACGUUUUGGGAGUCAUGAAUUACGACCUCAAUUUAGGACGCCUUUGGUUGAUAUUGCUUAACCCUCAAAUUGACUGGUCCGCAGGGCAAAUUAUUUCAUGGGGGAGCAAUUGUCAUCAGAACUGUUUCAAGACUAUGUUACGACAAAGGUAAUGUUACUACUGAAAUUCCGCCGAUGACAUCCGAAGAGCCCAAUUUAUCACAAGUGUCCACCUGUUACAAUGACCUUAAAGAAGUGGUUUCCAAAGCCAAAACAAAGUGUCUUCCAUCCCGUAGACCUUAUUGUGACUCUCCCAUAGACUUGCUGCUGGGAACCACACCUCCGCGAGGGAGAUUGUUUUCUAUUUUCAGGCCCUGAACACAAGGCUAUGAAGGAGUAUGUGGAGGAGUCGCUGGCAGCCGGCAUCAUUCGUCCAUCUUCGUCCCUGCUGCAGCGGGAUUUUUCUUUGUCGACAAGACAAAACCCUGCGACCCUGUAUUGAUGACAGGGGAGUCAACAAAAUAACUGAAAAAACAGGUACCCUCUUCCCCUCAUUUCCACUGCCUUUGAAAACCUGAAUGGAGAUCUUUCUAUAGACUUUGUGACUGGUUUGCCUCCCUCGAAAGUGAAUACUGCUGUCCUCACUGUUGUGGACAGGUCCUCCAAAAUGGUACACUUUAUUGCUUUACCCAAACUCCCCUCGGCCAAGGAAACUGCCGAGGUCAUGCUAAACAAUGUCUUCAGAAUUCAUGGUUUUCCCAAGAAUGUUGUAUCAGACAGGGGUCCCCAAUUUAUCUCACAAUUUUGGAAAGAGUUUUGCAAUCUAAUAGGUGCAACGGUCAAGCUGCCAUCUGGGUUUCACCCCGAGUGCAAGUGACAAUCCGAGAGGCGCAACCAAAAACUAGAAUGGGCUCCAACGUCUCGCCUCACAGAACCCAAAGUAAUAGACUCAAAACCUGGUUUGGUUGGAAUAUUCCCAUAAUUCUCUCCCAUCUGCAUCCACGGGUCUGUCACCAUUUGUGCAUAGUUACAAACCCUCUCCGUUCCCUGCGCUAGUCCACAAGUCAUCCGUCCCAUCUGCAGUGGCCUUGUUAAGAUGCUGCAGGAGGAUCUGGGAGCAAGCCCGUCAAAUGAUGCUGCACCAAGGAAAGACCUACAAGACGGCUGCCGAUCGCAGUAGAACACCGGCCCUAAACUACAAGGUGGGACAGCAGGUUUGGCUUUCCACCAAGCAUCUUCCACUCCGGGUGGAGUCCAAGAAGCUCAUUCCCAGGUCCAACCGGCAUUCGACGUCAGCCUGCUUAAGCCUGACAAGAAGUCCCCUCUGAUCCCUCCUUCCAUCUUCUCCACCUGCACCUUGUUUACCCUAAUUACCCCAUGUAUAUAAUAUUGUCACCUUCCCUAUGGUCACCAGUUUGUUGUACCUUGUUUUCACAUUCCAGCAUUCUCUAUUCCAUAUCCCUGACUCAUACUAAGACUUGAUCCUGUUUUUGAUUCCCGACCUUGCCUUUUGCCUCACGUUUUUGAUACUUUCGUCCUCACUGGUUGCCCACCCAUGUACCGACCCCUGUCUGUUUAUUAAACAGUGUUUU